UAGGAGGUGGCGAAGCUGGUGCCGCUCGCCGGAGCUUCUGCAAUCGAUUUCUUCAAAUAGAGCUGAGUACGGUGCUCAUCAACAACAGGUCCACACGUUCAAUAAUUGUACUACUACACGGCCACGAAACUUAUGAGCAGUUUUACUCUACUCUUCUUUUCAUCAAUGACAAGAUAGGAACUUUCGCAUGCUCACAAGAUCACCAACUAUUGCCAGAGGUUUCAUUUUCUCACAAAUUCACCUGUUGCCAGAGUAUUCAUUCUCUCCAAAUCCAAAGUAAGUGCUGAAUUUCUUUUUUCUUUUUUUUUUUCAUACAUUAGUUUUGGUUGAAAUAUAUAUGGCUUCCAUGAGUUCUUGACAUUGCAUACUUGCAUAU